GAUGAACGCUGGCGGCGUGCCUAAUACAUGCAAGUCGAGCGAACAGACGAGGAGCUUGCUCCUCUGACGUUAGCGGCGGACGGGUGAGUAACACGUGGAUAACCUACCUAUAAGACUGGGAUAACUUCGGGAAACCGGAGCUAAUACCGGAUAAUAUAUUGAACCGCAUGGUUCAAUAGUGAAAGACGGUUUUGCUGUCACUUAUAGAUGGAUCCGCGCUGCAUUAGCUAGUUGGUAAGGUAACGGCUUACCAAGGCAACGAUGCGUAGCCGACCUGAGAGGGUGAUCGGCCACACUGGAACUGAGACACGGUACAGAAUCCUACGGGAGGCAGCAGUAGGGAAUCUUCCGCAAUGGGCGAAAGCCUGACGGAGCAACGCCGCGUGAGUGAUGAAGGUCUUCGGAUCGUAAAACUCUGUUAUUAGGGAAGAACAUAUGUGUAAGUAAAUGUGCACAUCUUGACGGUACCUAAUCAGAGAGCCACGGCUAACUACGUG
rnacentral:rRNA from 1 species